GCUGCUUCGCUGACGAGUGGCGGACGGGUGAGUAAUGUCUGGGAAACUGCCUGAUGGAGGGGGAUAACUACUGGAAACGGUGGCUAAUACCGCAUAACGUCGCAAGACCAAAGAGGGGGACCUUCGGGCCUCUUGCCAUCAGAUGUGCCCAGAUGGGAUUAGCUUGUUGGUGAGGUAACGGCUCACCAAGGCGACGAUCCCUAGCUGGUCUGAGAGGAUGACCAGCCACACUGGAACUGAGACACGGUCCAGACUC
rnacentral:rRNA from 1 species